rnacentral:lncRNA from 1 species
GAAGUUGAAACGUAGAAGCUGACAGGAAAAACCAGGAGAUGGCAGUGAACUGAAAGUCUAGAUUGAAAAAAAAAAAAAAAAGAAAAAGAAAAAAGGAAGGAGGUAGGAAAGAAGGAUGAAAAGAGGAAGGAAAGAAGAAGGAAGGAAGGAAAGAGCUAAGAAGGAAGGAAGAGGGAAAGAGGUAGGAAAGAAGGAGGGAGGGGAAAAAGGAAAAAGAAAAGAAUUUCCAGGAGUCAGUGACAAUGAAGUUAAUGCUUCAAGGAAGGACUAACCGUAUAAAAUACUGCUGAUUAUUCAGGAUUUCUCCCAGAAGAGGCAGAGAGAAAGAAAGACAGCAAAGGGAGCUGUCGGGCCUCAAGGGCAAUGGAUGGAGUAGAUGAGGGCGGCCUUAAGCCCCAGUUAACCUCUUGCACACCUAACAUUCUGAGCACCUACUCCCAGAAGACCACCACAGCAUCUGCUUCCAGAAAACAGACACUCAUGCUGAGUGUUGGUGACUGGAUAUGGAUACAGAUCCACAGAAUAUGGCAUCCUUCCAUGUGCUCAGCCCUCAGAUCUACA